rnacentral:rRNA from 1 species
AGCAGCCGCGGUAAUUCCAGCUCCAAUAGCGUAUAUUAAAGUUGCUGCAGUUAAAAAGCUCGUAGUUGAAUUUCGGGAUCAUCAUGUCGGUCGUGCCUCGGUACGUACUGGCAUUGUUGGUUUCUACCUUCUGACGAACCAUGAUGUCAUUUAUUUGGUGUCGUGGGAAAUCAGGACUGUUACUUUGAAAAAUUGAGUGUUUAAAGCAGGCUCACGCUUGAAUACAUUAGCAUGGAAUAAUGAAAUAGGACGUUUGAUUCUAUUUUGUUGGUUUCUAGGAUCGACGUAGUGAUUAAUAGGGAUAGUUGGGGGCAUUAGUAUUCAAUUGUCAGAGGUGAAAUUCUUGGAUUUAUUGAAGACUAACUACUGCGAAAGCAUUUGCCAAGGAUG